UUCGAUUAGUCUUUCGCCCCUAUACCCAAGUUUGACGAACGAUUGGCACGUCAGUAUCGCUACGAACCUCCAUCAGGGUUUCCCCUGACUUCAUUCUACUCAGGCAUAGUUCACCAUCUUUCGGGUCCUAACAGAUAUGCUCCAACUCAAACCUCUCUCAGAGAUCGUGGUCGGUCGUAGGUGCGAAGAAUGGCAAAGCCAAAAUCUCCCUACUCUCACUUUCAUUGCGCAUACAGGAGUAAAACCCGCAUACUCGCACAUAUGUUAGACUCCUUGGUCCGUGUUUCAAGACGGGUCGGUUGGAACCGAUUAAGCCAGCAUCACAGAAACCGAGUACUCGAAAGUGGAGCUCGGAAACAGGAACACUCCUCAGCCACAAGGAAAAGGAAAGAACAAAGAUAUAACGGUCCACAAGGAACCUACCUUCUUUGAACGAAAUCAAUUCCGAGUAGCUGAUGCUGACCUCUCCAAAAAGAUGAACCGGAAAUACAUCAAGAAACCAAAGCCUAAACCUGGUGAGAGAGAGAAGGCAAAGGGAUAGAUGGCAAACCGGCGGCACUUCUUGGAAUCAAAAAGGUCCCAAUCGCUUCCUUUUCAGCAAUUUCAGGCACUUUUAACUCUCUUUCCAAAGAACUUUUCAUCUUUCCCUCACGGUACUUGUUUGCUAUCGGUCUCGCGCCAGUACUUAGCUCUAUGUGAAACCUACCACACAUUUUGCGCUCAAAUCCCGAUGAACGCGACUCUAUAAAAGCGUACCGUACGUGGAACAAAAAACGCAGGGGAAGGACGGGAUUCUCACCCUCUAUGAUGUUCUUUCCCAAGAAACUUAACCCUGCGCUUCCACUGGUAACGCCUCUCGAGGCUACAAGUCAACAGCUCGGAAAGAGCAGUUGAUUUCCACUUUGAGCUGAUCCCGGUUCACUCGCCGUUACUAAGGGAAUCAUAGUUAUUUUCUUCUCCUCCGCUUAAUAAUAUGCUUAAGUUCAGCGGGUAACCUCGCCUGAUUUCAGGUCUG